GGCGGACGGGUGAGUAACGCGUGGGAAUUUGCCUUUCGGUACGGAAUAACUAAGGGAAACUUUGGCUAAUACCGCAUACGCCCUACGGGGGAAAGAUUUAUCGCCGAUUGAGAAGCCCGCGUCGGAUUAGCUUGUUGGUGAGGUAAUGGCUCACCAAGGCGACGAUCCGUAGCUGGUCUGAGAGGAUGACCAGCCACACUGGGACUGAGACACGGCCCAGACUCC
rnacentral:rRNA from 1 species